CCUACGGGAGGCAGCAGUAAGGAAUAUUGGUCAAUGGAGGCAACUCUGAACCAGCCAUGCCGCGUGCAGGAAGAAGGCCCUAUGGGUCGUAAACUGCUUUUGUACCAGAGAAAACCCGAGUACGUGUACUCGGUUGAUAGUAUGGUAAGAAUAAGCAUCGGCUAACUUCGUGCCAGCAGCCGCGGUAAGACGAAGGAUGCAAGCGUUAUCCGGAUUCAUUGGGUUUAAAGGGUGCGUAGGCGGACUGAUAAGUCAGUGGUGAAAUCUCUCGGCUUAACCGAGAAACUGCCAUUGAUACUGUUAGUCUAGAGUAUAGAUGACGUUGGCGGAAUAUGACAUGUAGUGGUGAAAUACUUAGAUAUGUCAUAGAACACCGAUUGCGAAGGCAGCUAACGAAACUAUAACUGGCGCUGAGGCACGAAAGUGCGGGGAUCAAACAGGAUUAGAUACCCUGGUAGUCCGCACCGUAAACGAUGAUUACUCGUUGUUGGCAAUAUGACCGUCAGCGACCAAGCGAAAGCGAUAAGUAAUCCACCUGGGGAGUACGCCGGCAACGGUGAAACUUAAAUGAAAUUGACGG
rnacentral:rRNA from 1 species